UGUGUGUGUGUGUGUGUGUGUGUGUGUGUGUGUGUGUGUGUGUGUGUGUGUUAAGGCCAAAUUGAUUACGUAUUUCAUGAGCGCUUUAUGUAAAUUCCCACUCAGUUCAUGGGAGGUAACUAACUCUAAUUCAGUUUUGCUUUGAAUGUAGUGUCACAUACGCACGCGGUUAUCGUGCAGUGUGGAAUGCAGGGUAGAAUGUGGAAGGACACGUGUGGAGGGAGAGGUGAUACAAAAUGUCACUCGUUCCUUUGCGUCUUGCGUCAAGUUGCCAAGUCUGUGCCACAUGUAUUCAGAACAAGAUGUAAACCGAUUGAGAAUGAAUGCAGUAAUAAAACAAAAAAGAUG